UACGAAGGGGGCUAGCGUUGCUCGGAAUCACUGGGCGUAAAGCGCACGUAGGCGGAUCGUUAAGUCGAGGGUGAAAUCCUGGAGCUCAACUCCAGAACUGCCUUCGAUACUGGCGAUCUUGGAGUCCGGGAGAGGUGAGUGGAACUCCGAGUGUAGAGGUGAAAUUCGUAGAUAUUCGGAAGAACACCAGUGGCGAAGGCGGCUCACUGGCCCGGUACUGACGCUGAGGUGCGAAAGCGUGGGGAGCAAACAGG
rnacentral:rRNA from 1 species